AACCUUAUGGACCUGCGGGCGUAUACCUGCGGAGGGAUCAUUACCGAGUUUACAACUCCCAAACCCCUGUGAACAUACCUAUACGUUGCCUCGGCGGAUCAGCCCGCGCCCCGUAAAAAGGGACGGCCCGCCCGAGGACCCCUAAACUCUGUUUUUAGUGGAACUUCUGAGUAAAACAAACAAAUAAAUCAAAACUUUCAACAACGGAUCU
rnacentral:misc_RNA from 1 species